ACGAACGCUGGCGGCGUGCUUAACACAUGCAAGUCGAGCGGUAAGGCCCUUUCGGGGGUACACGAGCGGCGAACGGGUGAGUAACACGUGGGUGACCUGCCCUCAGCUCUGGGAUAAGCCUGGGAAACCGGGUCUAAUACCGGAUAUGACUCCAUGACGCAUGUUGUGGGGUGGAAAGCCUUGUGCGGCUGAGGAUGGGCCCGCGGCCUAUCAGCUUGUUGGUGGGGUGAUGGCCUACCAAGGCGACGACGGGUAGCCGGCCUGAGAGGGCGACCGGCCACACUGGGACUGAGACACGGCCCAGACUCCUACGGGAGGCAGCAGUGGGGAAUCUUGCGCAAUGGGCGAAAAGCCUGACGCAGCGACGCCGCGUGAGGGAUGGCGCC
rnacentral:rRNA from 1 species